GUUAUCGUUUAUUUGAUAAUACCUUACUACUUGGAUAACCGUGGUAAUUCUAGAGCUAAUACAUGCUGAAAAUCCCGACUUCGGAAGGGAUGUGUUUAUUAGAUAAAAAACCAAUGCCCUUCGGGGCUUUUUGGUGAUUCAUGAUAACUUUACGGAUCGCAUAGCCUUGCGCUGGCGACGGUUCAUUCAAAUUUCUGCCCUAUCAACUUUCGAUGGUAAGGUAUUGGCUUACCAUGGUUUCAACGGGUAACGGGGAAUUAGGGUUCGAUUCCGGAGAGGGAGCCUGAGAAACGGCUACCACAUCCAAGGAAGGCAGCAGGCGCGCAAAUUACCCAAUCCCGACACGGGGAGGUAGUGACAAUAAAUACUGAUACAGGGCUCUUUUGGGUCUUGUAAUUGGAAUGAGUACAAUUUAAACCUCUUAACGAGGAACAAUUGGAGGGCAAGUCUGGUGCCAGCAGCCGCGGUAAUUCCAGCUCCAAUAGCGUAUAUUAAAGUUGUUGCAGUUAAAAAGCUCGUAGUUGAAACUUGG
rnacentral:rRNA from 1 species